GAUGAACGCUGGCGGCGUGCCUAAUACAUGCGAGUCGAGCGAACGGACGAGAAGCUUGCUUCUCUGAUGUUAGCGGCGGACGGGUGAGUAACACGUGGAUAACCUACCUAUAAGACUGGGAUAACUUCGGGAAACCGGAGCUAAUACCGGAUAAUAUUUUGAACCGCAUGGUUCAAAAGUGAAAGACGGUCUUGCUGUCACUUAUAGAUGGAUCCGCGCUGCAUUAGCUAGUUGGUAAGGUAACGGCUUACCAAGGCAACGAUGCAUAGCCGACCUGAGAGGGUGAUCGGCCACACUGGAACUGAGACACGGUCCAGACUCCUACGGGAGGCAGCAGUAGGGAAUCUUCCGCAAUGGGCGAAAGCCUGACGGAGCAACGCCGCGUGAGUGAUGAAGGUCUUCGGAUCGUAAAACUCUGUUAUUAGGGAAGAACAUAUGUGUAAGUAACUGUGCACAUCUUGACGGUACCUAAUCAGAAAGCAACGGCUAACUACGUG
rnacentral:rRNA from 1 species